GUGAUAACUUAUUACACAACUUAGACGAACAUUUAUGUGUCUUGGCUGUGCCACUAAAAAUUCUCCACCAUUAACAAAUGCUCGCUCCCCCAUUUGAGCCUCUCGCUUCUUCCCUUUCGCCUUCUCUCUCGAAAGCUCGUUCUCUCUCAGGUAACAGAAGUUAAAUUUUGUCAAGUACAAAGACGAUGAGUACUGGAGGAGAGAAAGGAUCAGCAACUACAAAAACGCCAGCAGAUUUCCUGAAGUCUAUCCGUGGACGACCGGUUGUUGUAAAGCUCAAUUCUGGUGUUGAUUAUAGAGGUAUUCUAGCUUGUCUGGAGUGAUACAUGAAUAUUGCAAUGGAGCAAACAGAAGAGUACGUCAAUGGACAGCUCAAGAAUAAUUCUUUACAUUAGUACAUCAAAGAGGACAUUAGCUGAUGGAGCAUGAAUGUCAUUCAGUUUUUACUGUUUGCUGUAGUCGGAGUUUUACCCAUUCAUUUGUCGCGUAAGAUUGUACGGAUCAUUUUGGAACUACAAAUGUGAUAAGAACCUGUUCAACUUAAUCGAAAUGGUUGGAUUCAUUUACACUUA